UACGGGGGGGGCAAGCGUUGUUCGGAAUUACUGGGCGUAAAGGGCUCGUAGGCGGCCAACUAAGUCAGACGUGAAAUCCCUCGGCUUAACCGGGGAACUGCGUCUGAUACUGGAUGGCUUGAGAUUGGGAGAGGGAUGCGGAAUUCCAGGUGUAGCGGUGAAAUGCGUAGAUAUCAGGAGGAACACCGGUGGCGAAGGCGGAUCUCUGGGCCUUACCUGACGCUCAGGCGCGAAAGCUAGGGGAGCGAACAGG
rnacentral:rRNA from 1 species